rnacentral:rRNA from 1 species
GAUGAACGCUGGCGGCGUGCCUAAUACAUGCAAGUCGAGCGAACAGACGAGGAGCUUGCUCCUCUGACGUUAGCGGCGGACGGGUGAGUAACACGUGGAUAACCUACCUAUAAGACUGGGAUAACUUCGGGAAACCGGAGCUAAUACCGGAUAAUAUAUUGAACCGCAUGGUUGAAUAGUGAAAGACGGUUGUGCUGGCACUUAUAGAUGGAUCCGCGCCGCAUUAGCUAGUUGGUAAGGUAACGGCUUACCAAGGCAACGAUGCGUAGCCGACCUGAGAGGGUGAUCGGCCACACUGGAACUUAGCCACGGUCCAGACUCCUACGGGAGGCAGCAGUCGGGAAUCUUCCGCAAUGGGCGAAAGCCUGACGGAGCAACGCCGCGUGAGUGAUGACGGUCUUCGGAUCGUAAAACUCUGUUAUUAGGGAUGAACAAAUGUGUACGUAACUAUGCACGUCUUGACGGUACCUAAUCAGAAAGCCACGGCUAACUACGCG